GUUUUAAUAGUUUAAAAUAAAACAUUGGUCUUGUAAACCAAAAAUAAGUAAUACUUUUAAAACU
rnacentral:tRNA from 1 species